UCAGGACGAACGCUGGCGGCGUGCCUAACACAUGCAAGUCGAGCGGGACAUACGACGGAACCAAAGUUUCGGAUGGAGGUGAAGAUGUAUGUUCUAGCGGCGGACGGGUGAGUAACGCGUGAGCAACCUGUCCCUCACAGGGGGAUAACACAGCGAAAGUUGUACUAAUACCGCAUAAGACCACGGUAAGACAUCUUACAGGGGUCAAAGGAGCAAUCCGGUGAGGGGUGGGCUCGCGUCCGAUUAGAUAGUUGGUGAGGUAACGGCCCACCAAGUCGACGAUCGGUAGCCGACCUGAGAGGGUGAUCGGCCACAUUGGGACUGAGACACGGCCCAAACUCCUACGGGAGGCAGCAGUGGGGAAUAUUGGGCAAAAUGGGGGGAACCCUGACCCAGCAACGCCGCGUGAGGGAAGAAGGUUUUCGGAUCGUAAACCUCUGUCCUUGGUGAAGAGGAAGAGACGGUAGCCAAGGAGGAAGCCCCGGCUAACUACGUGCCAGCCGCCGC
rnacentral:rRNA from 1 species